GGGGGAGUAUGGUUGCAAAGCUGAAACUUAAAGGAAUUGACGGAAGGGCACCACCAGGAGUGGAGCCUGCGGCUUAAUUUGACUCAACACGGGAAUCCUCACCCGGCCCGGACACGGAAAGGAUUGACAGAUUGAUAGCUCUUUCUCGAUUCUGUGGGUGGUGGUGCAUGGCCGUUCUUAGUUGGUGGAGCGAUUUGUCUGGUUAAUUCCGAUAACGAACGAGACUCCUCCAUGCUAACUAGUUACGCGACCCCGGGCAGUCGGCGUCCAACUUCUUAGAGGGACAAGUGGCGUUCAGCCACACGAGAUGGAGCAAUAACAGGUCUGUGAUGCCCUUAGAUAUCCGGGGCUGCACGCGCACUACACUGAACGGAUCAGCGUGUGUCUACCCUUCGCUGACAGGUGUGGGUAACCCGCUGAACCCCGUUCGUGAUAGGGAUUGGAGAUUGCAAUUAUUUCCCAUGAACAAGGAGUUCCCAGUAAGUGCGGGUCAUAAACUCGCAUUUAUUAAGUCCCUGCCCUUUGUACACACCGCUCGUCGCUACUACUGAUUGGAUGGUUUAGUGAGGCCCUCGGAUAGGCCCCGCCGGGGUCGGCCACGGCCCUGGCCGAGCGCCGAGAAGGUGAUCAAACUUGACUAUCUAGAGGAAAUAAAAGUUGUAACAAGGUUUCUGUAGGUGAACCUGCGGCAG